CAUUGCGCACCAGCUGUUAUUGACAAAAAGACACACACCCCCACCCCUCGUCUUACCAGAGGUAGUGUCUCUGUUCUGCCGGUGCAUGGAAAAUGCUGCUAGGUCUAUAUUGUCCAUAUCUUUGUUCAGCCAAGUCUCAGUGAAACAUAAGAUGUAACAGUUUUUUAAUGUCCCGUUGGUAGGAUAAUCUUAACAGUAGGUCAUCAAUUUUAUUUUCCAAUGAUUGCACGUUAGCAAGAAGAACAGAUGGCAGUGGGAGUUUACUCGCUUUUCUGAUGUCCAGAAGUUAUUGUCGAUCAUAAGAGACGGUAGCAGCAACAGUUUCACCACCAUUUAGGUGGUUGUGGAUACACUUUCAAAAUUCUGUUGUUUCAACCUUCUCUCUGGUAUCUCUACUGCUCUCCAGGUCGCUGAGUCACUGUUCCAGCAGAUCUUCCAGCAUUAUUGCCUUCCGGAGGACAUUGUCUCUGACCAAGGCCCCAAAUCCACAUCACAGGUAUGGAGAACCUUUAUGGAGAAGCUUGGGGUCUUGGUCAGCCUCACUUCAGGGUAUAGGCCUCAGUCUAACAGGCAGGUGGAGAGGAUGAACCAGGAGCUGGGGAGGAGUCACUGCCAGGCCCGGCAGGGAGAGUGGGCCCGAUUCCUUCCAUGGGUGGAGUGCACCAAGAAUUUGUUAAGUUACUCCUCCACCGGGCUGACUCCCUUCCAGUGUGUCCUAGGUUUUCAGCCGGCCCUGGCUCCGUGGACCCCGGAACAGACCGAAGCUCCUGUGGUGGUUGAGUGGUUCAGGCGCACAUAAGAAGUGUUGAGCGAGUCUCACAGCAUGCUGUCCACCUUCAGAAGGAGCAGGCAGGCGGCCACCGCAGUGAGACUCCAAUGUUCCAUCCUGGGGAUCGUGUCUGGCUCUCUACCAAGAACCUCCCACUCCGCCUGCCCUGCAAGAAGCUGAGCCCCCAGGCUGGUGGUUCCUGAUCCCCUGGCUAAUGCUGUCCCCUAAGACACCCCACGGCCCCCCUGGACACCAAUGGAGGUCCCGCCUAUGCCGUCAGAUCCCUACUGGACUACCUACGUCGUGGGGGUUGGCUCCAGGACCUGGUGGACUGGGAGGGGUACGGCCCAGAGGAGCGGUGUUGGGUUACAGUGGAACCGCCCGGAAUGGCCGGCCUCUGGCCGGUGUCGUCCUGCGUCUGGAGCCGCGCAUCAGGGGGAGGGUACUGUCAUGUCUAUUUCCGCUCCUCCCCUCCGACAUUCUACGUCGCAGGUUUACUCGCCACCGGCCCUGGCAACCAUCAUUACGUGCACCUGGCAUCAAUCAUUACGCCCACCUGGGCUUCAUCAUGAGGCACACCUGGACUCCAUUACCUCUCUCUUUACCUCCCCUUUAUCUUACACUCUCUUAUGUUCUUUCCCCAGGCAGUAUUGUUUCUCUGAUUCAUGUUAACACACUACUCCUAUCGUUCCAUGUUCUUUGUUAUAUUAAACUUACCACCUGCUUCUAGACUCCCAGUGUCCACAUUACAAGGGUUGGUCACUGUUCUAUCAUGAUUGGACAAUAAAUAAAUAAACUAUCUUUUGUAUAUCCCAUAUCUGCACAAAAUUGAAAGCUCUCUCUGUCACAACUCCAGCUGGCAGAUGCAUAUGGCCUCUGGCAUCUACAACCAUUUUCCUUUUUCACUCACUUAUCUCCACACUUUUCCAAACACAAAAACACACACCACCCCACCUUCCAUCACAUUACACCUGCACAUACCCACAUACUGUGCCAUCUAUGUCCUCUGUUUGCUGUGUUUGAUUCCUACCUAAUAUCUGGCUUUUGUGUACUUUUGUUUUCCUUAUAUUUUGAAGAUGUAUUAUAUAAAUAAUCAAUAUUUUGCCUAAUGCUGUCUUAUCUGUUGAUUAACACUAUAAAUAGGAAGUUGAAUACUAAUUAUUUUACAACAUUCCCUAUCUUGAAUGGUAUAGUCUAUUUGUAGUUUAUUUCUUUAUCGAUUGUUGUAUUUUAUUGUUUUCCUAGUUUCUUUCUAUUACAAUCCCUACCAUGGAUAGUAUUGGGUGUUCCAUUAUUCAAAUCCUCUAUGGGAACUUGUAAUAUUUAAAAUAGCCAUGGAGUAGUCUUGGUGUCUCGGAACAAUUGGUUAUCAAUAUACAGUUUAUCGACUAUAAGAGCUACACGUUUCCCUUUAAUCUAUUCACCUUGAAGAGUGGUUCAGAUCUUUGUACCGUUCUGUAAUUUCCUUCGGGAACUGAUCAUUCAUGCCUAUUUUUGUGCCAGCGAAUCUUUUACCCAGGCUUUUUAAUCAUUAGUUUGUCUUCAAUGAAUGCAAAUUUGGCAACGAUUGGGCGCUCAUAUAUCUGUCCUCUUUCUGAAAUGUUAGAGUUUAAUUUUGUCAACAGUAUCACCUGAGAUCUGUAGCGCUAUAAGAAAGAAUUCUUUCACCACAUGUUCUGGAUCUUCACCCAAUCUUUAUUUGAUACCAGUAAGUACUAGAUUUUCUCUCAUAUAUGUAGUCUGUGUUUCAAGUAAGGCUUCUCUCAGAAACGUGUUCUCCUUUCUAAGUUCUUUAACCUCUCUGGGCAACCCGACGCGCUAGCGUCCCACCUUGCCAACAAUAAAUGCAAAUGCGCUACACCAAAUGCUAAUAGCACUCGUUAAAACUCAAACGUUCAUUAAAAUGCACAUACAGGGUACUCAAUUCAAGCUACACUCGUUGUGAAUCUAGCCAACAGGUCAGAUUUGUAAAAUGCUUUUCGGCGAAAGCAUGAGUAGCUAUUAUCUGAUAGCAGGUAAAACACGCCGAAAUACCAGAAGGGGACGCAAACAAAGGAAUUAGCAUAGCCGGCGCUACACAAAACGCAGAAAUAAAAUAUAAAACAUUCAUUACCAUUGACGAGAUUCUUUGUUGGCACUCCUAUAUGUCCCAUAAACAUCACUAUUGGGUCUUUUUUUCGAUUAAAUCGGUCCAUAUAUACACUAAAUAUCGAUCUAUGAAAAGUGUGUGAUCCAGGAAAAAACAGUGUUUUAAAACGCAACGUCAUUUUUUUUAAUUAAAAAAGUUGAACUCAUGGUCGAAAAUUUCUCCUCCAAAACAUCCUGUCGGAGACCGGAAGGAAUGGGCUCUCUCUUACUCGUUUGACCAAGAAACAAAGCCCAGGCAAUUGACAAGACUGGCGACAUCGUGUGGAAGCUGUAGGACUUGCAAUCUCAGCCCCAUGUAAUUUGGUUUCCCAUAAACAAUACAUGCAAGUGGCACAUUGAUACUUUUUCCAGUUUUCAGUGAUCAGUUUUUCUUGCGCUUUUCGAUGAAACACAGGCUCUGUUAUAGUCACAGCCAUGAUUUAACCAGUUUUAGAAACGUCAGAGUGUUUUCUAUCCACACAUACUAAUCAUAUGCAUAUACUAUAUUCCUGGCAUGAGUAGCAGGACGCUGAAAUGUUGCACGAUUUUUAACAGAAUGUUCGAAAAAGUAGGGGGUAGGCUUAACAGGUUUUAACGUCUGUUUCAAUUGCAUUGAGUGUACGUUUUAGCUUGUUUCUUUCUCCGUUGUCACAGCUUUUUCGUCAAUCAUCUCGAGGCUCGCCUUCAACUCCUUUAUAUCUUUACUGACUUGUUCAAGUAUGAUCAGUUUAUAAUUUGACAACUUUAGCAAGUCAGUUUCCACGCAUACCAUUCCCGGUGGUGAAAAGAAGACAUUGUCUGUGUCCGUUGAGGAGUCACGUUUUCUUUUGGGGAUUGGUUCUCCAUGCUUACUUUCUGACAUGUUUUGGUGUUAAUUGUAUUGAUGAUAUUGGUCGAUACAUUUCUCUAGCCUCAUAAUUUGUUUUGUGUUGUUAUCCAGAUUGAAAUCUAUUGCCCGCGAGUAUAUGGAGUGAAGUGCUAAUAUUUAGUCAAACUUGCAAAUAUUGAAAAUUACAUUUUAAUCUUGAGGCAUUCCCCACCGCUGUAGUCAGUCCACCGUGACACCUCCCCUCCCUAUUCUUUCCCUAUUCAUUUUCUCCAUAGGAAUGGCUAAAUGAACCAGAGGUAACUCACUUCCGUUUUUUAGGACUACAAGCUGGUGAGCUAUAUAGCCUCUCCCAUCCACUGGUUAGUAUGGGUUAUGCUAGCUUUGCUAAGCUGCCAUGAACUUCGUGAAAAGUGAAAUGUGUUUUUAUAUCGUGAUAUCCAGAUCCUGUACAGUACUACAGUUUCUGAAAGCAUUUCACCAAGACACUGUGUAUGUGUGUCUUUCUAGGUAUGUCAUUCAUGUAUUUGAAUGUAUAUUUUCAUUAUGAAUGUAUUCUGUCAGCUAGUGGACUAAACUCCACUCAAUGGUGAAGGAAGUUUAUGAGGAACUUCACCAACGCCGUGGAACCGAGACCAGGCUUUUUCAACAAACUUUAAUCAAAUACAACCACCGACUGUUUCCUAUUUGAGAGUUGCCAUCUUAAAGUAAACAGUUGGUGGUUUCAUUUGAUUAAGGUUUAUUUAAAAUGUAUGGAUUUCAAGCAAACAAAGAAAUGCAUGCAACUACAGAGGAUAUAGGUACAAGUUGGGCAUUUCAUAAUUCACAUUUUUUUAAGUUUUGACCUUGGGCGAAUCGAUGUAGUCGGAGCAAAAUUCCACAAAGCCUGGUCUCGGCUCCACAUGGUUGGGGAAGUUUAUCAGGAACUUCCUUCACCAUGGAGUGGAGUAAAGUCCACUAUCUCUCAGCAAGCUAUUAGCUAGCUUUCUGUAAACCUAGAAUGUCGCAAUGACACUGUCAUUUUGUUUGUGUAGAAGUGUUUGCAUUCAGGUUCACUUAUAGAAUGCAGGUUAUUCUCAGAAAAUAUCAAAUGUCUCUCUCUUGUUAUUGUGGAAAAUUGUGAACUAAUUAGAAGCUGCGCUAUGGAGAGCUGGCACAAAUACCAUGUAAUUACCAUAUAACCGUGUAAACUUCAUGAAAGUUAGAUUUUUAUAGAAAUGUAUUUGAAUUUGGCACUCUGCAUUUUCUCUGGCUUUUGGCCAAGAGGGACGCUACCGUCCCACAUAUUCCACAUGUAGGCGGUAUGCAAAAUGUCCAACUUGGCCAAUUGCCAGGGAAAAUGCAGAGCGCCAAAUUCAAAUACCUCACACAAGUACUUGGGAGUAUGGCUUGUCAAUACACGCUCCUUCUAUCAGCACAUAUCAAAGCUGCAGGCUAAAGUUACAUCUAGACUUGGUUUCCUCUAAAGUAAUCGCUCCUCUUUACCAACUGCCAAAUUAACUGUCACAUUCGUAAUAAUGACGGGACCAAGGUGCAGCGUGCGUUGAGUUCCACAUCUUUAUUUGCAGUGAAACUUUUAAAAAAAUAAACAAGCAACGAAACCUAACCUCAGUGGUGCUACAAGCACAAACACAAAUAAUAUCCCAAAAACACAGGUGGGACAAAUGGCUACCUAAGUAUGAUCCCCAACUAGAGGCAAUGAUUACCAGCUGCCUCUAAUUGGGAACCAUACAAAACACCAACAUAGAAAUAUUGAACACCCCCUAGUCACGCCCUGACCUACUACACCAUAGAGAACCAAGGGCUCUCUAAGGGCUCUCUAUGGUCAGGGCGUGACACUAACCCUGAUUCAGAUGAUCAUCCUACCCAUGGUAGAUUACAGAGACAUCAUUUAUAGAUUGGGCCUCACUCCCCCAAUUCUGAGAUAUCUACUGCAGCCCUCUUCUUCUACAUACAACACCUGUUCUGCCAGUCACAUUCUGUUAAAGGUCCCCAAAGCACACACAUCCUUGGGUCGCUCCUCUUUUCAGUUUGCUGUAGCUAUCGACUGGAACGAGCUGCAACAAACAAUCGAACUGGACAGUUUUAUCUCAUUCUCUUCAUUCAAAGACUCAAUCGUGAACACUCUUACUGACAGUUCUGGCUGCUGUGCUGUUGUCUGUGCCAAAUAAUAUUUGUACCAUGUUUUGCGCUGCUACCACGUUGUUGUCAUGUUGUGUCGCUACCAUGCUGUGUUGUCAUGUGUUGCUCCCUUGAUAUGUUCGGUCACUCUUUAUGUAGUGUUGUCUCUUGUCGUGAUGUGACCUAUAUUUAUAUUUUAUGUUGUUUAAAUAAAGAUCCUGCCUGUA